rnacentral:lncRNA from 1 species
CAAAGUGAUGGGGGAAAUUCAAACAAUGAAGUGCCACGAUUAAGAAUAAGGAAAGAUUUGUUCGCAUCAUUUUCGCCAUCAAAGGGUAACCCACAACUUAGCUUUCCUCACGUCAUUUAUGACUCAAAUAAUGUUGCGGGACAUGUGACUGGAACAAGGGAAAAUUCUUCACCAGCAAAGACUUUGAAACUUUGCCCCCUCAUAAAUCAGUUGAAAAGCAAGCUUUCAGCGCAGGCCCCAUCUCUUACAGCAAACAAAGUGAUCAGCAACCAUGAUACCGUAUUGAAUAGUAAGUUCCCAGCCUCUGUAAGUAAUAAUCUAAGUUCUUCUAAAGAAAAUCAACCAAAACAAUUUCAGAGUUCUAAUAUUCAGCCCAGCUCAAAGACUGGACCUUGGAGAAUAUCGGUAGAUGCAGAGGAUUCAGAGAGCACAGCAUCUGAACCCAUCGUUAACAACUCUGGGAAACGACCUGAGAUUUUGAAUAACAGGCGAAAAUCCUCAAACAAAACGAGUCCACACGAACAUGCAGAUGGAAAAAGUGCAGGAAAAGAUAGCCCAGCAUCAGCAAGUAUCAGGAGUAGAAGUGGUUCUGUGGCUUCUGAAAAAUCUAAAUGUAAUGAAUCAAAGUCAGCAGAGGUUGAAGAAGUCAGCUUUUCAAAAUCUUCUGAUGUUCCAGAUCUUGGCAUAUCCAAUUCAUCAGAUGUUCGUAAUGAUGGUGAAUCAGGAACAAAGAAUGAAGAACGCAGCCCAACAUCACAGAGAAGAAGGAGUAGGAGUGGGAGUGGCUCUAUGACUUCCAAAGACUGCGAAAAUGGAUCAAAUUCGAUGGAAGUUGAAGAAGUUAGCAUGUCAAGGUCUUCAGAUACUCCAAACAUUGUCAAAUUAAAAUCACCAGUUCUUCAAAACACUGUCACGUCAGAAUCACAUAAUGAGAAAGAGUUGAGGGAAUCAGGGCCUCAAACGAUGAAUGCCCAAAGGAGUAUGUCUACGGAGAAUCAAGUGAUAAGCUCUAAAGUAACUCCAUGUAAAAGAUCUAAAUCUUCAGAUGAUGUAGAUAAUGUUACUUCAUGGAAAAGGUCAAAGCCCUCAGAAGGAGAAAAAAUCUCAACUGCAAUUUUUGAUAUCACCAGCAGAAGUCUUCCCAAAUCUGUCAUGGAGGAUGUUUUAUCUGUUGAUGGAACAUUUGAUUUAGAGAUCAGUAAGAAAGGCGUUACACCGUGGAGGAAUAUCAAACCUUAUCAGGAAAAGAAGUGCAGAAACGGUGCGGUUCUCUAA